rnacentral:rRNA from 1 species
UCAAAUAUUGUCAGUCGAGCGGUCACCUUCAGGGGAUAGCGGUCGGACGAGGUGAGUAACACGUAGGCUACCUGCCUGUAAGAUCGGGAUAACUAUCGGAAACGAUAGCUAAGACCGGAUAGCUGGUUCUCUCGCAUGAGGGAAUCAUGAAACGCGGAGCAAUCUGUGGCUUACAUAUGGGCCUGCGGCGCAAUAGCUAGUUGGUAGGGUAACGGCCUACCAAGGCGACGAUGCGUAGCCGACCUGAGAGGGUGAUCAGCCACACUGGGACUGAGACACGGCCCAAACUCCUACGGGAGGCAACACUAGGGAAUCUUCCGCAAUGGACGCAAGUCUGACGGAGCAACGCCGCGUGAGUGAUGAAGGUUUUCGGAUCGUAAAGCUCUGUUGCCAGGGAAGAACGCCUUGGAGAGUAACUGCUCUGAGGGUGACGGUACCUGAUAAUAAAGCCCCGGCUAACUACGUGCCAGCAGCCGCGGUAAUACGUAGGGGGCAAGCGUUGUCCGGAAUUAUUGGGCGUAAAGCGCGCGCAGGCGGUCAUUUAAGUUUGGUGUUUAAGCCCGGGGCUCAACCCCGGAUCGCACUGAAAACUGGGUGACUUGAGUGCGGGAGAGGAAAGUGGAAUUCCACGUGUAGCGGUGAAAUGCGUAGAGAUGUGGAGGAACACCAGUGGCGAAGGCGACUUUCUGGACCGUAACUGACGCUGAGGCGCGAAAGCGUGUGGAGCAAACAGGAUUAGAUACCCUGGUAGUCCACGCCGUAUACGAUGAGUGCUAGGUGUUAAGGGUUUCUAUACCCUUGGUGCCUAAGUCAACACAGUACGCACUCCGCCUGGGGAGUACGCUCGCAAGAGUGAAACUCCAAGGAAUUGACGGGGACCCGCACAAGCAGUGGAGUAUGUGGUUUAAUUCAAAACAACGCUUAGAACCUUACCAGGUCUUGACAUCCCGAUGAAACUCCUAGAGAUAGGUGCCCUCUUCGGAACAUUGGACACAGGUGGUGCAUGAAUGUCGUCAGCUCCUGUCGUGAGAUGUUGUGUUAAGUCCCGCAACGAGCGCAACCCUUGACUUUAGUUGCCNNCAUUGAGUUGUGCACUCUAAAUGACUGCCGGUGACAAACCGGAGGAAGGCGGGGAUGACGUCAAAUCUUCAUGCCCCUUUUAACUNGGCUACCCCUUACUUCAUNNNCGGAAAAGGGNNNGGAAACCCCGGGGGGGACCCANNCUUUAAACCNNNUCCUUUUAAUUUUGGCNNNCCCCCCCCCGGAGGCCANAUUNUUAA